ensembl:snRNA U6 U6 spliceosomal RNA
GGGAGAAAGUGCUCACUUCGGAAAUCGGAACAAUACAAUUAGCAUGGCCUCUGUUCAAGGAUGAUAUACAAAUUUGUGAAGUGUUCUAUAUGUUU